GACGAACGCUGGCGGCGUGCUUAACACAUGCAAGUCGAACGGAAAGGCCCUGCUUUUGUGGGGUGCUCGAGUGGCGAACGGGUGAGUAACACGUGAGUAACCUGCCCUUGACUUUGGGAUAACUUCAGGAAAUUGGGGCUAAUACCGGAUAGGAGCUCCUGCUGCAUGGUGGGGGUUGGAAAGUUUCGGCGGUUGGGGAUGGACUCGCGGCUUAUCAGCUUGUUGGUGGGGUAGUGGCUUACCAAGGCUUUGACGGGUAGCCGGCCUGAGAGGGUGACCGGCCACAUUGGGACUGAGAUACGGCCCAGACGCCUACGGGAGGCAGAAGUGGGGAAUAUUGCACAAUGGGCGGAAGCCUGAUGCAGCAACGCCGCGUGCGGGAUGACGGCCUUCGGGUUGUAAACCGCUUUCGCCUGUGACGAAGCGGGAGUGACGGUAAUGGGUAAAGAAGCACCGGCUAACUACGUG
rnacentral:rRNA from 1 species